UACGGGGGGGGCAAGCGUUGUUCGGAAUUACUGGGCGUAAAGGGCGCGUAGGCGGUUCAGCAAGUCGGGUGUGAAAACUCUGGGCUCAACCCAGAGACGCCACCCGAUACUGCUGUGACUAGAGUCUGGUAGGGGAUCGCGGAAUUCCAGGUGUAGCGGUGAAAUGCACAGAUAUCUGGAGGAACACCAGCAGCGAAGGCGGCUCACUGGCCCGAUACUGACGCUGAGGUGCGAAAGCGUGGGGAGCAAACAGG
rnacentral:rRNA from 1 species